rnacentral:rRNA from 1 species
AACGAACGCUGGCGGCAGGCUUAACACAUGCAAGUCGAACGCCCCGCAAGGGGAGUGGCAGACGGGUGAGUAACGCGUGGGAAUCUACCUAGUUCUACGGAACAACAGUUGGAAACGACUGCUAAUACCGAAUACGCCCUAUGGGGGAAAGAUUUAUCGGAAUUAGAUGAGCCCGCGUAAGAUUAGCUAGUUGGUGGGGUAAUGGCCUACCAAGGCGACGAUCUUUAGCUGGUCUGAGAGGAUGAUCAGCCACACUGGGACUGAGACACGGCCCAGACUCCUACGGGAGGCAGCAGUGGGGAAUAUUGGACAAUGGGCGCAAGCCUGAUCCAGCCAUGCCGCGUGAGUGAUGAAGGCCUUAGGGUUGUAAAGCUCUUUCAGUGGGGAAGAUAAUGACGGUACCCACAGAAGAAGCCCCGGCUAACUUCGUGCCAGCCGCCGCGGUAAUAC